rnacentral:misc_RNA from 1 species
AACUUUUGACAACGGAUCACUUGGUUCUGGCAUCGAUGAAGAACGCAGCGAAAUGCGAUAAGUAAUGUGAAUUUCAGAAUUCAGUGAAUCAUCGAAUCUUUGAACGCACAUUGCGCCCCUUGGUAUUCCGAGGGGCAUGCCUGUUCGAGCGUCAUUUCAACCCUCAAGCACAGCUUGGUCUUGGGCUUCGCCGCUAACCCGGCGGGUCUUAAAAUCAGUGGCGGUGCGGUCGGGCCCUGAGCGUAGUACAUCUAUCUCUAGUGGGUCACUGUGGAUACUAGCCAGUAACACCCAAUUCUCUAUGGUUGACUUCGGAUCAGGUAGGGAUACCCGCUGAACUUAAGCAUAUCAAUAAUCGGAGGCU